GUUGAAGUUGUCGGCGGAGUCUGGCUCCCGUAGGAGUCCGGACGAAGUCUGUCUGCAGCCGUUGGAGUCGAGGACGAAGCCCGGCUCCCGUAGGAGUCCGGGCGGAGUCUUCCUGCAAUUAAAGUCAAAGGCGAGGUCCGGCUCCCGUAGGAGUCCGGACGGGGCUUACCAGCAGUUGAUGUUGAGGACGGAACCCGGCU
rnacentral:lncRNA from 1 species